AUUGAACGCUGGCGGCAGGCCUAACACAUGCAAGUCGAACGGCAGCGGGGAGUAGCUUGCUACUCUGCCGGCGAGUGGCGGACGGGUGAGUAAUGCCUGGGGAGCUGCCCAAUCGAGGGGGAUACCAGUUGGAAACGACUGCUAAUACCGCAUACGCCCUGAGGGGGAAAGGUGGGGAUCUGCGGACCUAUCGCGAUUGGAUGCACCCAGGUGGGAUUAGCUAGUUGGUGAGGUAACGGCUCACCAAGGCGGCGAUCUCUAGCUGGUCUGAGAGGAUGACCAGCCACACUGGAACUGAGACACGGUCCAGACUCCUACGGGAGGCAGCAGUGGGGAAUAUUGCACAAUGGGGGAAACCCUGAUGCAGCCAUGCCGCGUGUGUGAAGAAGGCCUUCGGGUUGUAAAGCACUUUCAGUCAGGAGGAAAGGUGGCUAGCUAAUAUCUAGUUGCUGUGACGUUACUGACAGAAGAAGCACCGGCUAACUCCGUGCCAGCAGCCGCGGUAAGAC
rnacentral:rRNA from 1 species